UACAGAGGUCCCAAGCGUUGUUCGGAUUCACUGGGCGCAAAGGGUGCGUAGGCGGUCGGGUAAGUCUGACGUGAAAUCUUCAAGCUCAACUUGGAAACUGCGUCGGAUACUAUUCGGCUAGAGGAAUGGAGGGGAGACUGGAAUACUUGGUGUAGCAGUGAAAUGCGUAGAUAUCAAGUGGAACACCAGUGGCGAAGGCGAGUCUCUGGACAUUUCCUGACGCUGAGGCACGAAAGCCAGGGGAGCAAACGGG
rnacentral:rRNA from 1 species